rnacentral:lncRNA from 1 species
AUGGAAUCAAUGGAAACACCCAAAAUUAAUAACUGCAGGGAAGUGGGCCCAGCCUGGGACACUGCACACAGGAUGGAAGCCAAAGACUGCUUUACAGGGUUUCAGUCCAGGGACUGUGCUGGCCAUUCACUACCAGGGUCAAAUGCUGACCAUGUCCAUGGAGUCUUGCAGCCUCUGAGGCUGCCUGAGCAUGAUCUUCAAUAGCAUCAGCAAACUGUGUGAGCUCCUCCCAGAGCAG